GUCAGCUGCUGCUUGCAAAGAUAGGACAAAAUCACAGCACUGUCUAAUGCUUUCCUGCAUUCUCAGAGUCAGUUGUGGAUAGUCUCUAUCAGCCAGAUGUGAACUUAAUCCACUGUAGUCAGCUAACUUUGGGAUGACUCUACACCUACGUUGCUGACCAUAAUUAUUUCCUGCUGUAGGAACACUACUCUCACUGCAUGUGAACCUUGUUUGGAUUUCCUGUAUUGGCUGCCAUGUCAGGUAAUCCCAGAAGAUGCUAAAUAAUCAUCAUCAUUAUCACCACCACCACCACCACUACCAUCACCAUCAUCAUCAUCAUCAUCAAAAGGCCGUGAUUAAGAUGGCAUCUGUCAACAGAGCCUUUCGACUGUAUUUCCAGCCCAGCUUCCUCCCAGCUGACUCAUCCAAUGAUGACACAAUCUAAUGUUUAUGACCUAGCAGUUGAUCACCAUGGAAGUAGCACAAACCUUAGACUGUUGAGGAGCAAAACCAGUGUUGGGAUGCUGGACGGGUCAGGAAAAGGAGAAAGAAGACCCUCAUUCAUCAAGACCACAUGUGAGCACUGAACACCCCAUUCCUCAUGUGGGCACUUCCACUGGUUGCUAAAACUGAUAUUUGGAUGCCUUGUGCCUUUUGGAGAACCCAAGGAAGGACUUAGGGUAACCGAGUGCAAACAAAUGCCAUGGCAUUUGGAAAUGAAGAACAGGAAGCAGAAGGGAAAAUGUGAUGAAGGAGGAGAGCCUCAAUUAAAAUUUAGCAGGGAUUUGUUUACUGGAACAAUAUGUGAGAGCAUUAAAGAAAAAUGAAAGGUCCACAUGAUUCAUUUCCAGAAGCCAAAUGGAGUUAUGGAAGGAAAUGGUCUGAGAAGAAUAUGAUUUUCUAAGUGAAGAUAAUGUUUUGGAGAGAAGAGACAAAAUUUGAAGAUUGGAAACCUUCAAAUCAUCCUGAAAAUCUACGAAUUCGGCCUGAGAUUUAAAGAGAGAACAGCUGGAACGCUACAGUGAGAAGAGUUCGCGCUUCUAUCAGCCCAUGCAUAUAACAGUAUGAUGUGAGUGUGAAUUUACCAAAGCACUAGACUUGGGAUCUGUGUUGUAACCGUGGGACCUAACAGACUCGCCAAAACUUACUGAAACUCACAAUUCCUUCUUUUUAAGUACACCUAGGCAGUCCUGGAUAUUUUGAUGUAUCUACUUCUCAAAUACUCCCCAUGUGUGAAUAAUCGUGUUUCUCAUGCAACUUUCCUUCAAGGGGCUGGAGAAAAUCUGUUCCAUGAUGUGAACUGCACACUAACUAUUCACAGUUGACCACAUCUGCUGGGCAAGACUCACCAAUCCCAAGGAACGCACAAACUCAAGUUCUAAAACACAGGCUGACCGAUCAUCCUGGCCGACUAAAUUAGGAAUUACUUAAAUGUUUUCACUGGAAGUCCCUCCUCGCUGCAGCAGAACAGAGUCAUUUUGAACUGUGGCUGCUACCAUGGCUCAGAUCUGAUAUGGUACGCUGGAAAGCAACCUCUUCCUUUUCAACUCUCCAUCAAGCUGCAAUCUCCAAUUUAAUCUACUGAAGUUAUUCAUGACUGCUGAGACUCUCAAACUUAUUCUUCUGAUACAGUGUUCUCUCCUGACACGCCAUAUCUACCUUCAGAGAAGGCUCCUCCUAUGGGCCCCUUCCAGAGUUGAUGAAAAUGAGGAAAAUUCUGGUAAAAUGCUACAUUAUUCCCCUAAAUAGCCAAUGGGAAACUGGAUAUCAGAGGCUGCAGAGGUGAUCCUCAAAAAAUGCAGAAUCCAGAGAAAGCACUAAAUAAGACAGAUCUGCUCUUUGCCAUCAUGGAGUUUUAAUUUUAUGCAGAAGAAAAAUGUUAACCAACCAAUUCUUCUUAAAUUUCCAUUAUCAGAAGUGCAGCAAAAAACAAAGUAUGGGCAACUGUGGCUUUGUAUAUUAAUCCCACCAUCUGAUCCCUUUUGAAGAACAGAGAAAGCUUCCCUGACGGUAAUCAUCUAUUUAUAAUCUCAAGUUGCCUUAUGAAAAGGGUGGGGGGAAGGCCAGGCAAACCCAACAUCCACCAACAAAAACAUCGGCAAUUGUCCCACACAAAACUGAACGCAGAAAGACAGAUAACAGAAUCUAGUAGUCAAAAGCAUAUAUUCUGGAAUCAUAAAGAUUGGAAUCCUGCCACUGAUUAGUUGCAUGAUCUUUUUAAGCCUCAAUUUUCACAUUUAAGAAUGGAAAUAAUCAUUGGACAUCCACAUGCAGAAGAAUGAAACUAGACCACUCUCUUUCACCAUACACAAAGAUAAACUCAAAAUGGAUGAAAGAUCUAAAUGUGAGACAAGAUUCCAUCAAAAUCCUAGAGAAGA